GAUGAACGCUGGCGGCGUGCCUAAUACAUGCAAGUCGAGCGAACAGAUGAGGAGCUUGCUCCUCUGACGUUAGCGGCGGACGGGUGAGUAACACGUGGAUAACCUACCUAUAAGACUGGGAUAACUUCGGGAAACCGGAGCUAAUACCGGAUAAUAUAUUGAAAUGCAUGGUUGAAUAGUGAAAGAUGGUUGGGUGGGUAGUUAGAGAGGGAUCCGAGCCGCAUUAGCUAGUUGGUAAGGUAACGGAUUACCAAGGCAACGAUGCGUAGCCGACCUGAGAGGGUGAUCGGCCACACUGGAACUGAGACACGGUCCAGACUCCUACGGGAGGCAGCAGUAGCGAAUCUUCCACACUUGUCAAAACCCUUACCAAUCAACACCACGUUAGUCAUGAAGGUCUUCGGAUCGUAAAACUCUGUUAUUAGGGAAGAACAAAUUUAUCAAUAACUAUGCCCGUCUUAACUAUCCCUCAUCAGAAAGCCACGGCUAACUACCUG
rnacentral:rRNA from 1 species